GGCUCCCCAGGGACCGACGCACAAGCCCUGGUGCAGGCCCUGCGGGACCACGACCGGGAGCAGGCCGGAGCCCUGGGGCCGCGGAUCCGGCUGGUGACGGAGCAGUGCAGGCAACGCAUCGAGCGCUGGCCCGAGGUGCAGGCCGCCAUUGACGCCUGGUGGGAGCAGCCAGGGCAGUUUGCCCUGCCUGCGGAGCACCGCCUGGGCCUCACCUUGCAGCAGUGGCUGGAGCGCUGGACCCUGGCCCUCAAGACCCUCCAGCAGCACAGCUGGGCCUGAUGGCCCCGUCCUGCCUGGGGCUAGGGGAGCCCCGCCCCCAAAGGGGUGCAGUUGUAGGGAGCCACACCCAUGUUAGGGAAGGAGUGCGGGUGGGACACACCUCUAUGGGGUGGAGUUUUUGGGGGCCUAGCCCAGUCCAGCUGUCCCCUCUUGCACAAGGUGGGGGGUCAGUGUUAAGGGGGGGACCAGAUGCUGGCAGUGGGAGGGUUGGUGGGGCUGAGCGGAGGUGGGGGAGCGGCUGUCAGGUGUGGGGGGGAUCCCAGAUGGGUUUUGUGGCGUUCUGUAAUUCACAAUGUUCUGAAUAAACUGACUAAAUUCACA